AAUCAGUCGUGGUCCUCAUGGGCUAGACAGUUAUCUUACUUGGAUAACUGUGGUAAUUCCAGAGCUAAUACAUGCAACUAUGAAAUCCCGAAUUGCUCGUCGUGUUUGUGCAUUCGUGUACGGCGCGGCUUCUCGCUACGACGGAUGCUUUUAUUAGACCAAACCGCUGAGAGAGUAGUGCAAUCAAGCGGGCGUCGUUCCGUAAAUGUGCGCGUUUCGGCGCGUGGAGCGUGCGUUCGUUGUGCCUCUCGUAGACUCGUGUUAUGGUGACUCUGGAUAACACUUUGACAAGCGCACGUAUCCAUUGAUUUGGGACGGCGCUGCCACUUUCGAGUGUCUGCCUUAUCAGCUAUGAAUCGUUCGUUAUGUGCUAGCGAUGGCUUUGACGGGUAACGGAGAAUCAGGGUUUGAUUCCGGAGAGGCAGCCUGAGAAACGGCUACCACGUCCAAGGACGGCAGCAGGCACGCAAAUUACCCAAUCCCAGCACCUGGGGGAGGUAGUGACGAAAUCUAACGAUGCGGGCGCCCCUUCUGGGGCCCCGCAAUCGGAAUGAGCAUUUUCUUUCCAAACACCCUGUUGAGAACCUACUGAAGGGCAAGUCUGGUGCCAGCAGCCGCGGUAAUUCCAGCUUCAGCAGCAUAUACUAAAGUUGCUGCGGUUAAAAGGCUCGCAGUUGAAUGUCAGUAUCAAGUGUAGCGAUGGUGGACGUUGGAGUGUGGGAGCGUGAGCCCGCAUGCCGCGGUGUCGUGCUUCGUCGUUUCGGCGGUGUUCGCGGUGUCCGUGUGUGCGCGGUGAGCCUCCCCACUUAUAACUCCCGUCCGUAACAAGCCUCCUCUCUUGCGUACAAAGUGAAAUCUAUCGGUGGAAACGCGAUUGAGGUGCCAUUCGUGAGGUGCUAUUCGGACGUGUGUGUGUGUGUGUUUCUCUGGGAUGUCGUUUCGGCGGUGUUUUGGGGUGCAUGUGUGUGCGCGCGCUUUGGGUUCACUUUGCGUUGGCGUUAAUAUCUCUUUCGCAUAUGAGAAUCUGGGUUUCAAAGUCACCUUGAGUAAAUCAGAGUGCUCAAAGCAGUCGUAAGGAAUGUGCGGCUCACGCCGUACGUUCUGCGAUGAAUGUCUUUAUUGACAGACAGUCUUGGUUUUGCAUGGUAUGUCGAAAGACGCUGUAAUAUACAAAUAUUCCUGUUGGUAACGAGUCUGGUGCGGGCUCGCGCACUAAUGGCAUGCAUGCUCACGAAGCGUUUGGCGUUCGCGUCUGCGUCUAGUGGUUUGUGUGUGUGUCGUACAUGCGCGACACAUGAGACCAACAAGUACGGAAUGAUUAAAAGGCACGGUCGAGGGCAUUGGUAUUGCGAGGCGAGAGGUGAAAGGAGCUUGCGGCUUAAUUUGACUCAACACGGGCCAUCUCACCAGGCCAGCACUCUUGUACGAUUGACAGAUUGAGAGUUCUUUCUCGAUUCAGUGGAUGGUGGUGCAUGGCCGUUCUUAGUUGGUGGAGUGAUCUGUCUGGUUAAUUCCGAUAACGAACGAGACUCUCCCCUGCUAACUAGACGGUUGGAUCUUGCGUCUGGAGAGUUGUGAGGUAUGCGAGUGCGCUCGUGCCCGUGUCUUUUCUGUGCUUUGCGCGCGUUUUCUUUCGGGAUUGCGUUGUGCGGGUGUGGGGGGGAUGCGUGUGUUGCGUGUGUAUCUCCGUGUAUCGAACACUCCAAGUCCACCGCUUAAUCAUGGGGCGAUGCGUAACAACAAAGUCCUAUGAAUGAUACUCUUCUUAGAGGGAUUCACGGUUCUGAAGCCGUAAGAGACUGAGAGCAAUAACAGGUCUGUGAUGCCCUUAGAUGUUCUGGGCCGCACGCGCGCUACAAUGCCGGGCACAGAAGGUAUUCAUCCUUAUCCGAGAGGAUUAGGUAACCCUUUGAAAGCCCUCUCUCAUUAUCAAAGGACUUACGUUCGCGCGCGCGUUCUGCGUGUGCGUGUUCGUUUGUUCUCCGUGGCUUGCUUGGGCCUGGGGCUUGCAAUUCUUUCCCACAAACGAGGAAUGCCUAGUAGCGGCGGGUCACAGAGCCCGCUGUGACUCAGUCCCUGCCCUUUGUACACACCGCCCGUCGCUACUACCGAUUGGGUGUACCAGUGAGAUCCUUGGACUGGCGAACCUUGCGCACAAGCAAUUUGAGUGCAAGCGUGUACGACGGAAAGAGGCUCGAACUGGGUGCACUUAGAGGA
rnacentral:rRNA from 1 species